ensembl:ncRNA C04C11.7 ncRNA
GGCAUGUGACUCUCGAAAGAUUGGCACCAAAAGACAGAAAUUGUUAAAAAGAGGAAGGAAAAUGAGCAUUUUCAAUUUUCACAAAGACAAUAGUGUCAAGACUCGCGUUUCGUAUGUGCAAUUGACAUUGUUCAGUACUAAUAUGGAUGUUAACCAAAAAACAUGGAUCUGUGUUUUUUUGAAAAUUAUUUUAGGCUGAACGGAUAUUAGGAAGCUGCUACAAUU